GACGGUAGUUGAUCAGUGACUACAGAACGACGCUGGCGGCAGGCUUAACACAUGCAAGUCGAGCGCCCCGCAAGGGGAGCGGCAGACGGGUGAGUAACGCGUGGGAAUCUACCCAUCUCUACGGAAUAACUCAGGGAAACUUGUGCUAAUACCGUAUACGCCCUUCGGGGGAAAGAUUUAUCGGAGAUGGAUGAGCCCGCGUUGGAUUAGCUAGUUGGUGGGGUAAAGGCCUACCAAGGCGACGAUCCAUAGCUGGUCUGAGAGGAUGAUCAGCCACACUGGGACUGAGACACGGCCCAGACUCCUACGGGAGGCAGCAGUGGGGAAUAUUGGACAAUGGGCGCAAGCCUGAUCCAGCCAUGCCGCGUGAGUGAUGAAGGCCCUAGGGUUGUAAAGCUCUUUCACCGGUGAAGAUAAUGACGGUAACCGGAGAAGAAGCCCCGGCUAACUUCGUG
rnacentral:rRNA from 1 species